UCAAUGAAUUAAAUUUGAAGGCCUACAAUGUUUCUGUUGCUGUUGCCUUAACUUCAAAUGAAUCACAUACAAAAGCUAUGCUCUGAAUUUAGUAUGCGUUUUUUAUGGCUGAAUCGAUGAAGCAGACAUCAUCUCGUUGGAAAAAGAACAACAUGGUUCCCUGUCGUUUUUGUGAGAAUGUCAAAAGGAAGAAAUUACUGUCACUCGGCAGG